CUCUCCGUAGCUCAGUUGGUAGAGCAUCAGACUGGCAAUCUGAAGGACCUGGGUUCAUAUCCCAGCGGAGCUA